rnacentral:rRNA from 1 species
GGCUUCGGUCUUGCUUUCUGCCCUUCUCUUACUGAUUAUACCCAUGUCUUUUGCGUACUAUUUGUUUCCUUGGUGGGCUUGCCUGCCGAUAGGACAUCAUUAAACCUUUUGUAAUUGCAGUCAGCGUCAGAAAAACAUAAUAAUUACAACUUUCAACAACGGAUCUCUUGGUUCUGGCAUCGAUGAAGAACGCAGCGAAAUGCGAUAAGUAGUGUGAAUUGCAGAAUUCAGUGAAUCAUCGAAUCUUUGAACGCACAUUGCGCCCCUUGGUAUUCCAUGGGGCAUGCCUGUUCGAGCGUCAUUUGUACCCUCAAGCUCUGCUUGGUGUUGGGUGUUUGUCCCGCUUUUCGCGUGGACUCGCCUUAAAACAAUUGGCAGCCGGCAGAUUGGCCUGGAGCGCAGCACAUUUUGCGCCUCUUGUCAUGAUUGUUGGCAUCCAUCAAGACUAUUUUUUACUCUUGACCUCGGAUCAGGUAGGGAUACCCGCUGAACUUAAGCAUAUCAAUAAGCGGAGGAA